GGCGUAGUGGUGUAAUGGAUAACACAUCAGUCCUGUAUUCUGAAGAUGAUAGUUCGCAUCCAGCCGCCG